rnacentral:lncRNA from 1 species
CCACACUUGGGGUUCGUUGCGAGAAUGAUGUCGUCGUGGCGAGCUUCGAAGGUGUUCUGGAGGCGCAUGAUGGUUGCAGCGAAACGUGGACGGAGCCAGUAGUUCUUGUAGAGCACCAAUGGCUCCGACCACCCCUCCCUCGUUGGAAGUUUGGAUAGAGGAUCAUCAGUGCCGUGGCUAUUUGUGGCGCUUCCCUCCAUGACUUGUGCCAUAGCUCAGCUGCUUUGGAGUUCUUGCGCGCUCUACAUCUGGGACGAUGGAUUGGAUGGCUACUUGUAUAAGUCAUCCUUCGUUCUUUGGGUACAGAUUCGGUCAAUCUCGUGAUUAGCGAGUAUGUUUUUUAUUCCUAAUAAAGAAAAGGGACAGAUAAGAUCAUAUGGUGGGGAUUGACAUAGCUCAAGUUCUUUAAUUUGGAUCUCCAGCAGGGAUACGGCCCCUGCUGCGGCGGACGGAGCUCCGAUCCUCCCUAGAACAAUGCAGAAACAUGCAUGCUUCGACGGCGAGAACAUCCGCCGGAGACGAGGAUGCCAGCUACCACGCGACGGAGGAUGCCGACGGCGAUGAGAGCGCCUACAAGCAGCACAUGUCUCGUGACAUGAUUCCUCUGUCCUUUUGCCAUAAAAAAAGGCAGCCCUCGAUGGACGAUGUCACCGGACGGCGUCACCGGCGCCCCAUGUGCGUGGUCUCCUCCUCCAUGCACGAUGUCCGCAUGGUCGGCUACGAGCACACGCAGGUUCGCAGGCAGAUCGAUCAGGUCGAUGCGCCGACGCAGCUCAUCAGCUCCUCCACGUACGUACGGUCGCCGCCGGCUUUGUUCUUGCAUCCUCUCGCAAACUUCCUUCCUAUCCUGACAUGGGACGAAACGAAACACAUGAAGCAAAAAUGUUGCUCAAGCCUUACUGGUUGUGUUUCUCUAAAGCUCAAGGACAAAUAGAAUCGUAUCAUAUCACCUACCUUGCCUCUCCUGAAGAAGGCUGAUUUGUCGUAGACCACGUUGGGUCAUGGAUGGGGUUCUCAAUCACUACCGGAAACCGGGUGUUUGCCGAGUGCAAGAAUCUUUGCCGAGUGCAUUCUAUCGGGCACUUGGCAAAGAAGCUCUUUGCCGAGUGCUACUAAAAAAACACUCGGCAAAGAGCCAAAAAACACCGGGCAAAGCCUGGCACUUGGCAACCUAGAAAAAAAACACUCGGUAAAGAUAGGCACUCGGCAAAAAAAUAUGUUUGCCGAGUGUAAUUAUUUAGCACUUGGCAAAUAAUUUCACUUUUUUUCUAUUCUAACUUUGAAACUUUUUCUACUCUCCACAUAAAACAUGUGGUAUUCCAUGUUAAUAUUUGGUAUAUUUCUGGAUUCGUUUGCUAUAUUUAAUUAGUUUAUUGCAUUUCUAGGAAUUUUUUGGUAUAAGUCAAAUUUGAACUGCAAGGGAUUCAAAUAAUAGAAUAAAAUGAGUAGAAAAGUUGAUAUUCAUGUUAUUGAGUCCAGUGUGAGGCCUUACCUAGGAAAUAAAAAAAAUUUCGAACAUCUUGUUCAGAAAACACGACCACGAAUGUUUGGCCGAAUGGUUUUUGAAUUCUAAAAAAAGCAAACGAAGUUUGAAAAUCAUUAGAUUUUUCAAGUGUGAUGAUAUCAUACAUGGAGGCUGUGGUAAAAAAUUGAGAAGGUUUCGCAUAAUUUGUCACGUACGAUGUUUACAAACUGAAGCAUCUCAGAAAAAGAAUCGUAGCGUUGAGAAGGAUUCAGUAAGAUUUGGAGUCAAAGUGACGGUCGAAUUAGGGUUUGAAUUCAAAUUUUUUUGUACAGGCAAUAGAGAACAUAGAUUAUUUCAUGUGAAAUUUUGGUGAUUUUUUGGAUCUAUUUGAUAAUUUUAAUUUAUUAAGUGCUAUUAUAGAAUUUGAAUUAAUAUAAAUUAAAUUUGAGCUGUAACUGCAUAAAAUAAUAGAGUAAUAUUCGCAGAAAAAUCAUAUAUAUAUAUAUAUAUAUAUAUAUAUAUUGUUGAGUCAAUUUGAUAGGGUAUUUUCAAAGGACAUCAAGAAAAAGAAGGAAAACACGGUAUGGAAAAGAAGAAAAUGGGAACCGAGUGCAGACACUCGGUAAAAAUAACUUAAUCGAGUGCUGUGAUUUGACACUCGGUAAAGUAGCUUUGCCAAGUGUCCUAGAUUCGACACUCGGCACCUUAUAAAAGUCACCCGGCCACCGCCCCCUUCCUUUCACCCUCCCCUCCCUCUCCUGGCGCCACCCCCUCCCCUCCCUCCGUCUCCCGCCGGCGCCCCCUCCCUCUCCCACUAGCACCGCCCCCUCCCCUCCCUCCGUCUCCCGCCAGCAUCCCCUCCCUCCCCUCCCUCUCCUAGCGCCGCCCCCUCCCUCCCUCUCCCCCAUCUCCCUCCUUCUCCCUCUUUUUUUUUGCACAGGCGGUGGCGGCGGCGUUAUGGUGGCGGUGGUGUUGUGGUGGCAACGACGGCGUCAUGGUGGUUGCGGCGGGCGUGUUUUUAUAUUUUUUGAAAUAUUUUUUGCCAAGUGUCGGUUUAGCACUCGGCAAUGUCUUUGCCGUUUGCUCGAAAAAAAUACUCGGCAAAGGCAGCUUUGCCGAGUCUCUGUUUACUGAGUGCCGUUUACUGAGUGUUUUUUUUACUGAGUGCCGUUUACUGAGUGUUUUUUUUUACCUUCGCCGUGUGCCGUGGGUACAAGACAAACCUGAGCAUUCCGGUAGUGAAUGUUGGCCAUGCAUGCAUCGUCCUAGCUAGGCUUAAUGACACCUGCCCAUUGAGAUAAAUGGUGUUGAAUUUAUUUUCUGCUAUUGGACUCGCUAUUGGACUCUAAACAGAAAAGAUUAACACCUCUAAUUUUGAUGACCCAGGUAUAUAAUAAGGAUUAAUUUGCGAGCAUGAUUGAGCUAAUUUGUACUCUCUCAGUCCCAAAAUAAGUGUUCGUUUAGAAAAUUUUGGACACAUUAGUAGUUGUGAGAAGUGACCAUGCUAUUCCUAAUUACUCAUAUUAGUUGUGGUUGAAAGCUGUCCAAUCUGUUUGAUUUUUUAGAUCUGAAUACAUGCACGUGCAUUGGAACCAGAGAAAAAAUAUCAAUUGAUCAUUUCAUUGGAUCUAUGCACUUCUCAACACACUUGUUUUUAUUGGUGCAAGUGUUGCUUUAAUUAGAUGAGUCUCACUCGAAGCUAAAUGAACUUUCUUUGUGUGACAAAAUUUGAAAGAUAAACGAACACUUAUUUUUGAAUAGAUUGGGACAGAGGGAGUAAGCCGAUACUUAAAAAAAGGAAGAUGGUUGGUGGCAUGUCACGUUCCUCUGUCCUUUUACCAUCAAACAAAGCAUUAUAUUAUUACAUGGAUCGAUGAACUCUCACACCGGCUGCGGCAGCUCCUCGUCGGCUUGCAGUUUCCCCUCUAUACUUCCGUAGACACAACCUUCGACGACGACCACAACCUUCGACGACGACGAAAACGCAGCAGCAGCCAGCAAGGAGGAAUCCCGGCAGAUAAAAAUGUUGAAUCCGGUUUUUCAAAAUGUUGAAGUAGGCAGAUAAAAAUGUUGAAUAUAGUUUUUUUUCCUUAUGAAAUGUUGAUCUAGAAUGAAAAUGUUGAAUCUGUUCAUUUUAGAUGUUGAUUAAACUGUUGAAAAAUGUUGAAACUAGUUUGUUAGAAUGUUGACUUAAACUUUUAAACGGGUCUAAUGGGCUUUACAACUAUGCUGCUUAUCUAGCUUCCACUAGCUACAUAGGAGGCCCCGCGGCACUACUAGCAGAAAUUUCGCUCAAUCAAAAAGAAAGCAGCAAGUAGAAGUUCCAUUAAAGAAUCAUGACUUGCGCAAUGGAUGACUUUGUUUAUUUAUUCAAACAAUCGAAACAUGACGUUAAAACAUACAACAACAUAUAAGAAAAGUAAACCACAUGAACACAAAGAACCAGGAAGGCCAAAUCCCUUCAGUUUCUUCCAUUUCUUCACUCAUGUGAUUCAACCGGGUCUAGCUUCUCCUAUCUUCAGUGAUUGUCGGCAAUCAUGACAUGUUUAAGAGAAAAGUACAACAUGCAAAUGUGACAUGUUUAUUCUUGCAAACAUGCAAAUAUGAUGGCAAAUAUAAAGCAUACAAAGAAAAUAAAAGUAAAAGGAGAUGCACAUUAAAGCACAAGGCUUCAGUUUCUCCUCCACAAUGCAAUCUAGCUUUCUCCCCAUCUCUUGGCUCAUGUGAUUCACCCAAUCCCCUACCUUCCCUUUCCUGAAGAACACUGACUUCUCAACAAUUAUGUUGCCAGGCCGGACCAGUUGACCUGUCUGGUUGGUGUCCAAGCUGCUAAGCUUAUCAAAGCUGCACAACCUCACCACCUCCUCAGGUAUCCCGUCUUCUUCUUCCUUGAUACUGAAGGGGACACUGAGGAAGGUUGCAAGUUUGAUGACAUGCUUUACUGGUUCUGACAUCAUAUCUUCGUACUUGAGAAAAAAAAAUCCUGUUAGGGCAUGCGAUGCUCUCCUUCCAGUACUCGAGGCAAUGCUCCCAAAAAGGUCCGUAGGGUGAGAAACCUUCGGAAAACAUGUUGACAGCAGCCUCAAAGUCAAUGCUACGUUCCCUAUGAACCUUAUUCUCGAAGUGCCACCGGGACACAAGGGCGUCCUUUGGAUCUCGACAAACGUACACAAUACGACAACCACAAGUAGCUAAGGAGUCUGGGAAAAACGAGAGGGGCAUAUGGGUGGCAAGAAGCCUUGGAGAUGGGAGUGUCUCUACAUAGGUCAUGCCACCAUCUUGAGGGAUCUCGAUUAAUGGCACCACCUCCUGGGGAUGACGGAAGAGAAGAGGGUGAUUGCCAAACUCAUACCGGGAGUGAUUGGUGAUUGCGAAGGCGAGGGCCUUGAUCCACGUGGUGCCACACUUGGGGUUCGUUGUGAGAACGAUGUCGUUGUGGAGAGGUUCGAAGGUGUUCUGGAGGCGCAUGAUGGUUGCAGCGAAACGUGGACGGAGCCAGUAGUUCUUGUAGAGCACCAAUGGCUGCGCCCACCCCUCCCUCGUCGGAAGUUUGGAUAGAGGAUCAUCAGUAGCGUGGCUAUUUGUGGCGCUUCCCUCCAUGGCUUGUGCCAUAGCUCAGCUGCUUUGGAGUUCUUGCGCGCUCUACAGCUGGGACGAUGGAUUGGGCGGGUUGAGCAGCUCUGCUGGUGGCUAGCACAUAAUGCUUAAAUACAGAGAGCUGAGUGGAGGCAUCAGUCUGCCAAUGGGCAAUGGUGCGUAGGUUAGGCAUCAGUCUGCCAAUGGUGCGUAGGUUUGGCACGUCACAUUCCACUGUCCUUUUGCCAUAAAAAAGGCAGCCCCAUGCGCGUGGUCUGCUCUGCUCCUCCAUGCACGAUGUCCGCAUGGUCUGCUACGAGCACACGCAGGUUCUUCGCAGGCAGAUCGAUCAGGUCGAUGCGCCGACGCAGCUCAUCAGCUCCUCCACGUACGGUCGCCGCCGGCUUUGGUCCCGUUUGUUACAUUUGCUUAUUUUUAGCACCCGUUUGGUUACAUUUGCUUAUUUUUAGCACCCGUCACAUCAAAUGUUUAGAUACUAAUUAGUAGUAUUAAACGUAGACUAUUUACAAAACCCAUUACAUAAGUGGAGGCUAAACGGCGAGACGAAUCUAUUAAGCCUAAUUAGUCAAUGAUUUGACAAUGUGUUGCUACAGUAAAUAUUUGGUAAUGAUGGAUUAAUUAGGCUCAAUAGAUUUAUCUUACCGUUUAGCCUCCACUUAUGUGGUUUUGUAAAUAGUCUACGUUUAAUAUUCCUUAUUAGUAUCUAAACAUUCGAUGUGACAUGUGCUAAAAAUAAGCAAAGGGAACCAAACGCCCCUUGUUCUUGCAUCCUCUGGCAAACUUCCUUCCUAACCUGACAUGGGGCGAAACGAAACACAUCAAGCAAAAAUGUUGCUCAAGCCGGCCUUACUGGUUGUGUUUCUCUAAAGCUCAAGGACAAGUAGGAUCAUAUCAUAUCACCUUCCUUGCCUCUCCUGAAGCCUGAUUUCUCGUAGACCACAUUGAGUCAUGGAUGGGGUUCUCAAUCACUACCGUAAACCGGGUGUUUGCCGAGUGCAUUCUAUUGGGCAGUCGACAAAGAAGCUCUUUGCUGAGUACUGUUAUAAAAAUCUCGGCAAAAUAAUUGCACUUGGCAAAAGAGCCAAAAAAUACUUGGCAAAGCCCGGCACUCGACAACCUAGAAAAAAACACUCGGCAAAGAUAGGCACUCGGCAAAGAAAUAUGUUCGCUGAGUGUAAUUAUUUGGCACUCGGCAAAGAAUAUGUUUGCCGAGUGUAAUUAUUUAGCAGUCGAUAAAUAAUUUCACUUUAUUUCUCUUCUAACCUUGAAACUUUUCUACUCUCCAUAUAGAACGUGUGGUAUUCCAUGUUAAAAUUUGGUAUAUUUCUGGAUCUGUUUUCUAUAUUUAAUUAAUUUAUUGCAUUUCUAGAAUGUUUUUAGUAUAAGUCAAAUUUGAACUACAAGUGAUUCAAAUAAUAGAAUAAAAUGAGUAGAAAAAUGAUAUUCAUGUUAUUGAGUCCAGUGUGAGGCCUUACCCAGGAAAUGAGGUUUUUAAAUUCUAAAAAAAGCAAACAAAGUCUGAAAAUCAUGAGAUUUGUCAUGAUGUGAUGAUAUCAUACGUGGAGGCUGUUGUCGGGCAUGCACCCCAGGCCACGAGUAGACCUUGGACGACCCACUGAGGGACGUACUUGGAUGUGAUCAGGACAAAGGGAUAGGCUUAUCCCGCUCGGACUAGUCAAGUAUGCAUAUGGAAAACUACUCGGGCCAUACCGAGUAGAACUCUGUAAUUGUACUCGACUAGGACUCGGACUUGUAACCCUGCCCUCCCGUGUAUAUAAGGGCGGGCAGGGACCCCCCUCAAACAGAACAACUCCAAGUGCAUCUAAGAUCAAUACAAACAAACACACAGGACGUAGGGUAUUACGCAAUCUAGCGGUCCGAACCUGUCUAAAUCGUGUUCCUUGCGUCACCAUUGAUUCCUUGAUUCUCGACGGCCCUUACCGCAUAAAAGACCACCUAGGGUACCCCUAGGUGGGUUGCCGGUCUAAAACACCGACAGCUAGCACGCCAGGUAGGGGAGCUCGUCGAGUUUCUCAGCGUGAACUCAAUGGCAACGAUCAUCAUCAAGCCUACCUUCGCCAUCGAAGUGGGCGCAACCUUCAUUUUUGGAUCCCGGCUCUGCAUCGCCGACGGCGCUGGAUCGUUCCGGCGCCAGAUCAUCAACGCCCGGGAGAAGAAAUUGGAGUAUUUGGUCAGAAAAAACCAAGAUUUCAAAGUCAACAACCUCGAAUUCGACUAUGCGUCGGACUCGACUUCAGUUCGGACUACUCGGUCCCAGCCACUUUCCAACCCGACUUCGACUCCAAAGAGGUUUCCACACGGACUCCACAACGCAGCCAAAGUAUACCAAAGUUUUCUCACCCGAAUUCAACUCGAACACGGGAAAGACGAAGACGAUGAUUUCGACUUGGACUAUCUCCCAGAUAUUCUGUUGUCAGGUCCAACCAAAGGUCUGGUGAUCACUUCAACAUCUCAAGGCAGAUUCGUUCACUUGCCAGGAUUAAGACCAUCCCUUGCCCGUGACUACGAGUCACGUCUUAUCGCUCACAUAGACAACCUCUCAUACCAGAAAGGCGUCCCACUCACCUCAAGCCGUGAGGAAAGCUCCACCGAAAUUGCAACAUCAAGCUUCGGAAGCUACUACCCAGACAGGGAAGUCUUUGUUAUUACUCAAAACAACAACCCGGGUACUAGCCAAAACAGAACCCCUAGGCGAUUAGCACAACUCGACAACAUCUCAGAAGACGAGUCAACAGCUAACGCCCCACAUGACGAAACUUUCAAUCAAAGGAACCAAAGAAGGAUGCGCAAUGCUACUCGGGUUGAGCGACGGCAGACGCUGGCUACAAACAUUCCCAUCAUAAACCUCAAAAGAGCAUUCGAUGCAGUUCAGGCUCAAGAACAUACCACUCCACUUGCGGCAAUCGCCUCGAUCAACCUUAUAUCAACACUCAUCCCCCAAGACAGAGACAAUGAAGCCACAGCUCAACUCGUACAGCGUGGCAACGGACUAAUCUCUCAACUCGCAGAACAGGCUUACAAACUACUCGACAAAGAAUCACCAAUUCCAUCUGUUCCUCGCAUCACAGCUCAUCAAGAAGGCAGUAGAGGUGCUACAGCCAACAACAACGAUGCUCAGAGAAAUAACAACGAAGUCGUGAAUCAGCCAAGGCAACACAGCCAAGGUUCGAGUAAACAAAAUGCCCCAAUACGCCAGAAGGAUGUCGGGGAAGUCAGCUGCACUAACUCCGUAAAAAGUAUUCGACCUACUCGGAAGAACCACGAAGUGUCAAACUUCAGUGUUCUACGAGAAAUAUUCAACAGUCGGCGUGAGCGAGAAGUCGACAACUACAACCACUUUCCUGCUUUCACAAAUAGGGUAAUGAAGACAAGACUACCCGAGAAGUUCAAGCCAACAGGAAUCACCAAGUAUGAUGGCAAGCAAGACCCAAUUCAAUGGCUACGAUUCUACUUGCUAGCUGUCCAAGCAGCCGGGGGCAAUAACGACACCAAAGUCAUCCACUUUCCCAUAUGCAUGGAACUCGCACCGCUGACAUGGCUCGAGUCCCUCAAACCUAAAUCAAUCGACUCUUGGGCAGAUCUGACAAAAGCUUUCACCAACAACUAUGCCGGCUCCAUGACUAGACCAGACAACAAGAUCGACUUGAGUCAAAUAAAGCGGAAAGAAGGUGAAAGCUUACGCGACUACUUGAGACGAUUCUUCGAAAAAAAGGCAACUAUAGUUGACAUUUCAGAAACAGACAUCAUCGAGUGUUUCCAGAACGGACUCUACGAUAGACGGACAUACCAAGACUUCGGUCGACGGCGACCAGCUAAUGUCAAAGACCUUAAAGUCAUGGUACAACAGUGGGCAGAUGAAGAAGACAAAGAGCGAGAAUGGUUUGGCUCCCAUCGCAACCGUGGACGCGACAACAACAACAAUGACCAGGAUAGAACUCGACACAAUGAUACUCGAAAUAACUUUUCGAGUAAUCAGAAUCGCAAAAGGAAGCCCGACAACACCGUUGCUGCCAUGACCAACUCCGAGAAAAAGGGAUUCUGUAAAAAUGAUGAAGGGCCAACCUUCACCGAACUACUCAAAAAGCAGUGCCCAUGGCACCCGACUAGCAAACACUCGGGGAUAGACUGCUACAGCAUGCGCCGAGUCAUGCAAGACUUACCCACACCACCACCCCCUGAAGAAUACAGCAAGAAAAAGGAUAAGAGCAAGAACAAAGUCCACAACGGCGAAGAAGAAGAAGGCGACAUUCAGAACGCCUCCAAGAAGGUUUCGCACAAUUUAUCACGUACGAUGUUUACAAACCGAAGCAUCUCAAAAAAAGAAUCCUAGCGUUGAGAAGGAUUCUGCAAGAUGUGGAGUCAAAGUGACGGUCAAAUUGGGGUUUGACUUCAAAACUUUUUGUAUCAGUAAUAGAGAACAUAGAUUAUUUCAUGUGAAAUUUUGGUAAUUUUUUGGAUCCGUUUGAUAAUUUUAAUUUAUUAAGUGCAGUUAUAGAAUUUUAAUUGAUAUAAAUUAAAUUUGAGCUGCAUAAAAUAAUGGAGUAAUAUAUUGUUGAGUCAAUGUGAUAAGGUAUUUUCAAAGUACAUCGGGAAAAAGAAGGAAAACACGAUAUGGAAAAGAAGGAAAUGGGAAAAAAAAAGUUUGCCGAGUGACGUGAUCGAACUCGGCAAACUUAGCUUUGCCAAGUGUCCUAGAUUCUACACUCGGCACCUUAUAAAAGUCACCCGGCCGCUGCCCCCUCCCUCCCAUCCUCCCCUGCGUCUCCCGGCAUCACCACCCCCUUCACUCCCUCCCUCUCCUGUCGGUGCCGCCCCUUCCCCUCCCUCCAUAUCCCGCCGGUGCCCCCUUCCUCUCCGGCCGGCGCCGCCUCCUCCCCUCCCUCCAUCUCUUGCCGGUGCCCCCUCCCUCUCCCGCUGUCCCACCCCCUCCCCUCCCUACGUCUCCCGCUGGUGCCCCCUCCCUCUCCCGCCGGCACCGCUCCCUACCCUCCCUCUCCACCCAUCUCCCUCCCUCUCCGUCUUUUUUUUUUGCACAGGUGGGGGUGGCAUCGUGGUGGUGGCAGCAAGCGUGGUGGUGGCGGCGGCGGCGGCGUGGUGUUGGCGGUUAGGUUUUUUAUUAUAUUUUUUGAAACUUUUUUUGCCAAGUGUCGAUUUAGCACUCAGCAACGUCUUUGCCGAGUGCUCGACAAAAAACACUCGGCAAAGACAGCUUUGCCAAGUGGAACAGUCGGCAAAAAUCUUUGCCAAGUGUUUUUUUUCCUUCGCCAUGUGCCGUGGGCACACGACAAACCUGGGCAUUCCGGUAGUGAAUGUUGGCCAUGCAUGCAUCGUCCUAGCUAGGCUUAAUGACACCUACCCAUCGAGAUAUAAAUGGUGUCGAAUUUAUUUUCUGCUGAUUAGAAUCUAAAUAGAAAAGAUUAACACCUCUAAUUUUGAUGAUCCAGGUAUAUAAUAAGGAUUAAUUUGCGAGCACGAUUGAGCUAAUCUGUACUCCCUCCGUCCCAAAAUAAGUGUUCGUUUAGAAAAUUUUGGACACAUUAGUAGUUGUAAGAAGUGAUCAUGCUAUUUCUAAUUACUCAUAUUAAUCGUGGUUGAAAGCUGUGCAGUCUGUUUGAUUUUCUGGAUCCUGAAUACAUGUACGUGCAUUAGAACCAGAGAAAAAACAUCAAUUGAUCAUUUUAUUGGAUCUAUGCACUUCUCAGUACACUUGUUUUUAUUGGUGCGAGUAUUGCUUUAAUUAGAUGAGUCUCGUUAGGAGCUAAAUGAACUUUCUUUGUGACCAAAUUUGAAAGAUAAACGAACACUUAUUUUGGGACAGAGGGUGUAAGCCGAUACUACUUAAAAAAGGAAGAUGGUUGGUGGCAUGUCACGUUCCUCUGUCCUUUUACCAUCGCAUGUUUGGCUCCCCCAACUUAACUUGUCACAUCGGAUGUUUAGAUACUAAUUAGGAGUAUUAAACAUAGUCUAAUUACAAAACUCAUUGCACAUAUGAAGCCUAAUUCGCGAGACGAAUCUAUUAAGCCUAAUUAGUUCAUGACUUGACAAUGUGGUGCUACAGUAACCAUUUGCUAAUGAUGGAAUAAUUAGCCUUAAUAGAUUCAUCUCACAAAUUAGACUCCAUCUGUGCAAUUAGUUUUGUAAUUAGCUUAUAUUUAAUCCUCCUAAUUAGCAUCCGAACAUCUGAUGUAUCCGAACAUCUGAUGUGACCCUGCUAAACUUUAGCACCUCGUAUCGAAACGCUCAUAAAUCGACGAACUCUCGCACCGGCAGCGGCGGCUCCUCGUCGGCUUGCAGUUUCCCCUCUAUAUUCCGAAGGCACAACGUACCUUCGACGACGACGAAAACGCAGCAGCAAGCCAGCGAGGAGGAAUCCCAUGGGCCAUGGCCCCCAGGAUGAGCAGGACCACAGCCACCGCCCAGGCCGGCCGCCCGAUGAGCGCGGUAGAAGAGCAUCGAGAGGACGCAGAAGGCGAUGAGCGCGCCAAGCAUGCACAGCAGCGGCGCGCAUCGACGGUCAGGAUCCGGCCUCGCGUCAACGACGACGCCGCCACCGCCGCCGCCAGGGUUCUCGAUGUCGGCCAUAGCAGCUAUCCUUUUGGUGUUCAGUACGACAACCACAAGUAGCUAAGGAAUCUGGGAACAACAAGAGGGGCAUAUGGGUGGCAAGAAGCCUUGGAGAUGGGAGUGUCUCUACGUAGGUCAUGCCACCAUCUAGAGGGAUCUCGAUUAAUGGCACCACCUCCUGGGGAUGACGGAAGAGAAGAGGGUGAUUGCCAAACUCAUACCGGGAGCGAUUGGUGAUUGCGAAGGCGAGGGCCUUGAUCCACGUGGUGCCACACUUGGGGUUCGUUGCGAGAACGAUGUCGUCGUGGUGAGGUUCGAAGGUGUUCUGGAGGCGCAUGAUGGUUGCAGCGAAACGUGGACGGAGCCCGUAGUUCUUGUAGAGCACCAAUGGCGGCGCCCACCCCUCCCUCGUUGGAAGUUUGGAUAGAGGAUCAUCAGUACCUUGGCUAUUUGUGGCGCUUCCCUCCAUGGCUUGUGCCAUAGCUCUCAGCUGCUUUGGAGUUCUUGCGCGCUCUACAGCUGGGACCUGCGGAUAGAGCGUGUAGAGCUGCGGAUUGGGUGGGUGCGUGUAGACCUGCGGAUUGAGCAGCUCUGCUGGUGGCUACCAUAUAGUAAUUAAAUAUAGAGAGCAGCUCUGAUGCUGGUGGCUACCAAUGGUGUGCAAGUUACCAUAUACUGUAUAGGAUUAAAGUAUAAUCUCGUGAUCAGCGAGUAUGUUUUUAUAUUCCUAAAGAAAAGGGACAGAUAAGAUCAUGUGGCGGGGACAUAGCUCAAGUUCUUUAAUUUGGAUCCUGAUAAGGGGUUGCGUGGAUGAGAAAAGUAUACGACAACAUGCUUAGUGGGUGUUUGGACUUUUAGUCCGAACUAAAAUUCAUAUCACAUCGAAUAUUCGGAGGUUAAUUAGGAGGUUCAAAUAUGAGCUAAUUAUAAAACUAAUUACACAGAUGGAGGGUAAUUCCCGAGACGAAUCUAUUAAGCCUAAUUAAUCCAUCAUUAGCACAUGUUUACUGUAGCACCACAUUCUCAAAUCAUGGACUAAUUAUGCUUAAUAGAUUCGUCUCGCAAAUUAGCCUCCAUCUGUGCAAUUGAUUUUAUAAUUAGUCUAUAUUUAAUACUCCUAAUUAGUAUCUAAAUAUCCGAUGCGAUAUGAAAAAACUUCCUAGGUCGGGGUUCCUCUGCUCGGUUCCGCGUCCGCGAGCCACCCCGCGCCGUCUGCUUCGCCUCCCUCCAACCCGCACUUCCCGGUUUGCCCUCCGAUCGAUUCGGCGUCCGCGAGCCUCCCCCGCGUCAUCCGCUUUGCCUCCCUCCAUCCCGCGCUUCCCGGUUUGCCCUCCGAUCUCCAGUGCCACCCGCCCUACUCCUCCGCGGUCUCCCUGCGCCGCCGCCGCCGCCCGCCCUACUCUCCGUAGUCUCCCUGCGCCACCGCUCGCCCUCCUCCUCUCCGCGGUCUCCCUGCGCCGCCGCCGCGGCCCUACUCCUCUCCUCGGUCUCCCUGCACCUCCUCCGCCGCUCGCCCUUCGCCGCCGUCACAUGCCCUCCUCCUCUCCUCGCUCACCCCGCCCCGCGCUGCAGUCGCCUGCCCUCCUCGUUCUCCCUGCGCCGAAGUCGCCCGCCCUCCUCCACGCUCUCCCUACGCCGCAGUUGCCCGCCACUACUCCCAGUCGUCGCGCCGUUGUCGGGGACACGCUGCCAACGAGCCAUGUUAGCUUCAUACCUCUUCUCAGACGAUCUACAACACCGGAGUUCGAUUACAUCCUGUAUUGUUCAAACAGAAGUUUUCACCAUAGUCUCUGUGAUUGAAAGCAUCUUUUUUGUGUGUGUUCUAUACAAUGUUAGUCACUCCUCUUUGAGAACAACAGAAGAGGGUGUUUUGUCAUAGGGCAACAUGCUAUAUGUCGUGCCCCAGAUACAUGCUGAAUUGAAAAUGUAAUUUGUGUGCAGUUGCUUGGCUACCUAUGUUUUGAGCAAUAUGAGGCGCAAAGGAAAAGUUCCUCAUUUAUCGUUUCUUUAGCUAUUAUUAGUAGUGUGGUAGAAGAUCCCAAUUUGUACUUAUUAGCAGGAGAGUAGAAUUACCUUGAUCACCUCAUAGAACUUCGGAUCCAAGUGAACUGGCGUCCUACUAUACAACCAUGGCAGCUCUAAUGUCCAAGUUGAGAAACAAUGCUAAUAGCACAAAUACUGUUGGAGAGGCACGCCAUUUCUGCAAAGAAAGAAAUCAGAUCAAGCUAAAACAACACUAUUUGAAUGAAAAAUGAAAUGUGCUGCAUGCCUGAAUCAAUUUGAACUGCACCAGCCUACAAAGUGGUCGGCCAGUCGAUUUAACUGUAAUUUUCAUUUCUGGACCAACAACAACUGAUCUCGAACAAUACAGGUUCCAGUUUCUAACAAAAACUGCAUUUAUCCAAUCACUGUUACAAACUAUUAUUUGAUGGGCCUAAAAUAUAAAAUAAACAAGGAUGGCGAAUUUCAUCCAUUAGAAAGUGACAGCCCACUAUCUAUGCUUGAAUUGCUCCUAGAACCUGUGGACUGUCACAUAUAAUCUGCUACUGCCCUUCAGGUGAUACAGUUGAAUCAUUUGCACUCAGCCAAACUGCAUAUUUCAGGACAGUUCACUGACAACUGAUGGCCAAGAUAUCUGAUAAUUUGGCAUAGAUAGCGAGCAUCCCCAUCUGUAGCCGUCAACAGCAGAACGAAAUUACCUUGAACAUCUGACAGAGCUUCGUAUCCCAAGUGAAUUGGUGCCCAGCUUGUAGGGCGAGCGAGGAGGAGGGCGGGCGGCGGCGGCGCAGGGCAACACCGGAGUUCGAUUCUGUCGUCUAGGGGGUGUUUGGAUCCUUGAGCUAAAGUUUAGUCCGUGUCACAUCGAAUAUUCGGAGGCUAAUUAGGAGGACUAAAUAUGAGUUAAUUAUAAAACUAAUUGCACAGAUGGAGACUAAACGGCAAGACGAAUCUAUUAAGCCUAAUUAAUCCAUCGUUAUGAAAUGAUUACUGUAGCAGCACGUUGUCAAAUCAUGAACUAAUUAGGUUUAAUAGAUUCAUCUCGCCAUUUAACCUCCAUCUGUGCAAUAAGUUUUGUAAAUAUUCGAUGUGAUAGGGGCUAAAGUUUAACCCUGGGAACCAAACGACCCCUUAGUUGGCUUCUCUGAAUUUUGAAUACUGAAUAGCAAUUGGUAUGCUAACGUGCUUUGAAGCAUUGUUCAUCCAGUGCAUGUCAAAGUCAAACUAAAGAUCAUUCUUUGGCUAGAGAUAUUUUGUGUUUGGCUAGAUCAUUCCUUGGAUGGACUUUGAAUAAAUAAAUUCAUGAUUAGCCUGUUUAGAAAUUGCACAGAUCCAUUAUGUCUGAGUGUUUUCUAAAUGAAACUUCUGAUCUAGGCCACACCACAUUGAUAUAAUCAUAUUCAGUAUUCAGUACUCAAUUAGGCAUUAAUCACGCAACAAGUUGUUGCCAGGGCAAAUUACAGUGCUCAUUUUAGCGAUUCUUGUUGGUCUCUCUUUGUUGGGUAUGGUCAGGUCUUGCUUAGUUCAAUGUUUCAUGAUACUAUGAUGUGCAACAAUUCAGUUUAUUUUACAUAUUUCAUUUAAAUUAUGUUCAGCUAUCUUUCUAAAUCCCCUGCAAGACUGGAUAGGCAUUCAGGCUGCAGAACUGUUGGAUGCUUACUAUAAAUUAGGCUUUUACCAUCUACUGACUGUCCUAGGCUGCUGUGAAUCUCAGCAAAUAAGAAUUGUUGGAUGCUUACUAUAAAUUAGGCAUCAAUCACGCAACAAGUUGUUGCCAGGGCAAAUUACAAUGCUCAUUUCAGCAAUUCUUGUUGAUCUCUCUCUGUUUGGUAUGGUCAGAUCUUGCUUAGUUCAAUGCUUUGAUCUAGCAUAUUUUUGUAAUUAACUGUGUUAUUACUAAUGUACAAAUGUACAGGAGCGUAUGGUAAAAUUUAGAACUAAAAUGCCAGCUACAUUACCAUCAACUAUAUUUAAUGAAUGGUUAGGGAAACCAUUACUACGUAACGAGGAUGAAAAUAUCGGAAGCCCGAGUGACGUUAGAGAAAUAAUGGAACCUAACGAGAUUCAGCACAUCAAACAAAAGAGGAAAUCCACAAACGGCCAUGAAAAUGCCCUUAAACUGAAGAAAAUCGAUACAGAGAUAGAUUCAGAUAAGCAAGAUAUUCUUCUAUACUACGAGGGCUGGCCCUCGAAGAGAGAUGAGUUAGCUGAGAUUUUUUAUGAUUAUGUUUUGACAAUUGAGGAUCCUGCAGAAUUGAAGUAAGCUCAGUAGUUCAUACUUCAUCACUUUCGUUUACCACUAAUAGUAUUGCGGUUUAUUAUGAUUUUUUAUGCAUCGUCCCUAUCUAUUGUUUUGCAGUAUAGUUUGCGUAAGCAGUGAUUUGCCCUAUAAGAGUGUGUAUAAACUCGGUGAUCUCAAGGUGUUGUUGAAACGAGGUUCACCCAUACCUGAACCAUUUUUCAACUUAGAUGUCCGGUUUCUUGCAAAUCGAGAGGUUAAAGGGAUGAUAAGGUACAACAACAAGGUUGCAAAGCAUCACGUAGGUCUGCGGUUUUGUGUAAGUUAGCUUGUUUAUAAUUACAAUCAUACUAUGGAAUAUAUUGCAUUCAUUGUCUGUCUAUUUAUAUUUAUUAUACAUAAAAUUGAUAAGUGGUAUUGAUCAUGGCUAUAUAUCAUUCCGCUUCAGAAAAUGUUGGAGUUAACACGUUAUGAAAAAUAUCGUACACAUCGCAAUGGUAAAGAGUUGGGUGAUGUGAUUGGUGGAUGGGAAAUAGUAAAAUAUGACAUACCAGGUUGUAGAUAUGUAAGUUCUUUUCAUGUUGUUAUUUGUUCAUUACAUAUCCUUUGUGGUCUUAAUACUGAGUGCUUUGCAGUUUCUCUUGCCAUGGAAGCACGUCAAUACCUACCUGCUUUAUGUACUCGACAUUAAGCGGAAGAAACUUAUUGUGAUUGACACUAAACUCAUUCCAAAAUAUGCCACCAAUGUGCCAUAUAAACAUUAUGCGAUAUAGAUUGUAGGGUUUCGCCUAAAAUUUUUGGUCGCAUUUAGACAGCUUAAACCUGAUUCAUGGGAGGAUGUUCACAAAUAGGAAUUUAAACGCGCGAAAGGGAUUGCGGAAGACACUGAUGGGUAAGACCAGCUCUGACACACCGGCAUUUUAGAGUGUCAAUAUCCUUUAUUUCUUAAAAUAUAUGUUUCUAUAUUUAUAUAGCUGACGAUUCAUCGUACCAUAGAUUUUCAGAUGGAUGGCUUAUUCUACAGUACAUGGCAUGGUGGGAUAGUCCUCGAAACGUGCACAUCGAUACAGUGAGUAAAUAUACUUUAUUGUACGUUCCUUUGUGAUUUUACAAUAUACCAUAAAUCUAAUCACACGAGAGCUAAACUUGAAGUAAGCACUCAACUUACGUACAUGAUGCUAUUACGAUGCGGCGCAACUUCUUCAUCGAUCUUUUGGUGCACAAAGCGAAUGCCUGGAGGACACUACUACCAGGCAUUGUGAAACAUUAUCUUUAGCGCAUCACAGGCAAAGAAAUAGGAUAGAUGGGGGUGGCCUUUGGAUGACCUGUAUUCGUAUUUGUUCCACAUGAUUAUUAUCCUGCUGAAUCCAAUGUUGAAGGUUGUUUAAGUCGCCGUUAGAGCUUGCUAGAAAUGAAUACGAUGUAAAGGUGAUUAACUGCCAUAUAUUAUUUGGGAAUUGGUCACAUAAUUAUUCUUUUGCAAGUUGACAUAAAGAGCAUCCAAGCGUACUUAUGCUUAUGUUAUUACUCAUUACAAAGUCAUUUUUUGUUUCACAUUGGAGGCAUUUGGAAGUAAAUAUUUCACACGAUAAUGUUGAUGUUUAUAGACGAAAUUUAUUUUGCCCGUAGCAACGCAUGAACACGAUCCUGUACUUAAAAACCAAAGCCGUAGCGGUGACGGUGGUCCAGCUCUUCUCUCCUCACCACUGACACAUGCACCCACAUGUUUUUCAUAACACAAGGCCGGAUCCCUUGAGCUUCUCUUCCAUGAUGUAAUCCAACUUUCUCCCCAUCUCUUCACUCAUAUAAUUUACCCAAUCACCUACCUUGCCUCUCCUGAAGAAGGCUGAUUUCUCGUAGACCACAUUGGGUCUUGGACGGAGCUUCAAGUUUCCGGCCCUAUUAGCCUCCAAGCCACUAAGCAUCUCAAAGCUGCACAACCUUACCACCUGCUCAUGAACACCAUCCUCUUCUUCCUCGCCGGUGAAUGGGACACCGAGGAACAAUGCAAGUUUCUUGGCAUACCUCACAGGAUCUGACAUCAUGUCUUCAUAUUUCAGGAAAAGAAUCCUAUCAGGGCUCGCGAUGCUUUCUUUCCAGUACUCGAGACAAUGGUUCCAAAAGGGCCCACUGGGCAAAGAACCCUCGCAAAACCUAUUGAACAUGGAGUCCAAGUCAGGAGCAUGUCCUCCAUGUAUCCUUUUCAAGAAAUGCCACAAUGACACAAAGGCAUCCUUGGGCUCUCGGCAAAUAUAAACAAUACGACAACCAUGGCUAGCUAUGGAUCCAGGAAGAAGUGACAUGGGCAUGUGGGUAGACACAAGCCUCGGGGAGGGAAGCGUCUCAACAUAGCUUAGGUCCUCAUUUGUAGGAAUUUCCAGGAAAGGCACUACCUCCUGUGGAUGAUGGGUGAGGAGCGGGUGGUCAUGGAAGUUGUAACGGUGGCGGGUGGUGAUAGUGAAGGCAAGUGCCUUGAGCCAUGUGGUGCCACACUUGGGGUUUGUGGCGAGGAUGAUAUCGUCGUGGCGAGGCUUGAAGAUGUCUUGGAGGAGCAUGAUGUUUUUGGCGGUCUGUGGCCACAGCCAAUAGUUCUUGUAGAGCACCAAGCCUUCUUUUGGUGGAAGUUUGGACACAAGAUCAUCAAUGUGGCUCUCGGCUGAGCUUCCCUCGUUGUUGGGAUGAGCCAUGGCUGGUUUUAUAUUUUGGGCCUUUUGGCAGGUGAUGGAUCCAACAAACAGGCAGCUAGCUAGCUAAAAGCUUCUGCUUCAACCCGCGGAUUGAGCUAGCUGCUCUGCCUGGUGGAGCUGAUACUAUUAUAUAGUUGAAUUGAAUGUCGCUGAUAUUAUUAUUGAAUUAGUUCACUAGUCACUAUUGUAUAGUGAGGUAUGGGCAUGGAUGGUAACAUCAUAUCUUCCUAUCUGUGGUAUGGGCAUGGAUGGUAACAUCAUAUCUUCCUAUUUGUGGUAUGGGCAUGCAUGGUAUGGGCAUGGAUGGUGUUUUUUUUUUGGAAGUUUGGAUAGAGGAUCAUCAGUACCUUGGCUAUUUGUGGCGCUUCCCUCCAUGGCUUGUGCCAUAGCUCUCAGCUGCUUUGGAGUUCUUGCGCGCUCUACAGCUGGGACGAUGGAUUGGGUGGGUGCGUGUAGACCUGCGGAUUGAGCAGCUCUGCUGAUUGGCUUGCGCAUGCAUCUCCGGCUGGUGGGAUAAUACUCCCUUCGUUCUAAAUUGUAGGUUGUUUUGACUCUUUUAGGUUCAUAGAUAUUAUUGUACAUCUAUAUAUGUGUAGAAAAAUUUUAAAACGGAGGAAGGAAGUAUAUAAGAUGAACGUAUGCUCUUGCAAUUGUUGAGUUAGUUCACUGAUUAAUGUAUACAGUUGAGGAGAUGGAUGUAUACUGCCUAACAGAAUAGCAUGAAUGCACGCUUGUUUCAGUGAGGCCGUCUUUCUAGCUAGGACACUGUAACCUCGAGCUGUACAGAUGUUAAUGUGCUGGUGACCCAAUAUAAUUUGACUAUAGUUUAUCAUUUUCCCUUCCUUUUGCCUUUCAUUUGAUCCGUAUCGCUGUUUCAGAAAAUUGGUCGUUUCUUGUAUUUUGCUAGGUCGUCAGAGACCAUUUCAGUAAUCGUAAGUCAACGCAAGGUCCAAGAUGUUCCUUUAGUUUUUUUUUAAAAAAUAAGGCUUAUUAUAGUUGAAGGGCCUAAAUUUGAGGCAGAAUCUUGUUUGGGCCUGAAAGUGAAACUGUUGGGAUUGGGCUGGUGGGCUUGAUCGCGGGCUUAUACGGGUUUGUUUCGUGAAUACCGUACUGCCAGCCCGAGAGUGCACGUUCAUGAAUGGUAACCUCAAGUUCAGAUGCACCUGUACAUUGCUGGGGGCCUGAGGGAUAUGGGUAUCCCAUAGGUUCCCACCGAUACGGAUCUGAUAAGUAGGCCCGCUCGUUCAGGACAUGCGGGCUGAGGACAUGAAGUUAUCCAAAUCUACCCGUAUACUGUGGCACGCGUACUGUAAUCCGAUUUAGAUUUGUUAGGAUUGAUCUCUUUCCAGAUUUAGUCCAACGGCCAAAUCCGAGAAGGAUCCCCAAUGGCGUCCUCGACGACUACUUCACUCAAGACCGACGGUCAGUGUCUCUUUCUCCAGGAUGUCACCGUGUAGAUCUAGUACUUCAUGUUGUUUAUCUAAAUCAAGUAGAAGACCCACUAGAUUAGCACCUAGAAGUUCCUGUUAAUCCUAUCAAGAUUACCUUCCAUGUAAUACCGAGUAUAUUAGAUUCAAACCGACAUGUAACUCUUAGUCGUUCAACUAUAUAAGGCAGCCAAGAACGCCUCCAAAGGCAAUGGAAAAAUAGAUCAUCAGAUCAAUACUGGGCAAUACAAUCCAAAAAAUACAGGACGUAGGGUAUUAUCCUCCGAAGGUCUAAAAUUAUCUAAAUCCCUCGUGUUCCCUUUGUGUCCUCGCGAUCACCUUCGAGUUCUGGGCCCUCGGAUCCAUCCUGCUCGACUCCCUCGGAUCCAUCCUGCUCGACUCCACGCCCACCCAGAGGAGCGAGCACUAGUAGAGAAUUGGGCUUUAGUCCCGGUUGGUAGGGUGCAAAUAUCCCGAAAAUCCAUCCGGGAUAAACCAACCGGGACAAAAGGGGGGUCUUUUAUCCCGGGUCACUCAACCGGGACAAAAGACUCCCUUUUAUCCCGGUUGGUAAUACCAAUCGGGAUAAAACAGGUCACCAUGGCCGGCGCUGCAAAAAAAAAAUCCCGAGCUCCCAGGAGGCCCACACACGCACGUCGCAAGUCACAAGUCACGUAAUUUUUCACGCGAAAUAUGCGCGUGCGCGGUUCGUGGGAUUCGAUCCCACAACCUCUUGAGGAUGACGGAAGAGAAGAGGGUGAUUGCCAAACUCAUACCGGGAGCGAUUGGUGAUUGCGAAGGCGAGGGCCUUGAUCCACGUGGUGCCACACUUGGGGUUCGUUGCGAGAACGAUGUCGUCGUGGUGAGGUUCGAAGGUGUUCCGGAGGUGCAUGGUGGUUGCAGCGAAACGUGGACGGAGCCGGUAGUUCUUGUAGAGCACCAAUGGCUGCGCCCACCCCUCCCUCGUCGGAAGUUUGGAUAGAGGAUCAUCAGUACCGUGGCUAUUUGUGGCGCUUCCCUCCACGCGUUGUGCCAUAGCUCAGCUGCUUUGGAGUGUUCUUGCGCGCUCUACAGCUGGGACGAUGGAUUGGGUGGCUACUUGUAUAAUUCAUGCAUGCUUCUUUGGGUACAGAUUCGGUCAAUAAUGGUGUGUAGUAUUAAAGUAUAAUCUCGCGAUUAGCGAGUAUGUUUUUUUAUUCCUAAUAAAGAAAAGGGACAGAUAAGAUCAUAUGGUGGGGACAUAGCUCAAGUUCUUUAAUUUGGAUCUCCAGCAGGGAUAUGGCCCCGGCUGCGGCGGACGGAGCUCCGAUCGAUCCUCCCUAGAACAAUGCAGAAACAUGCAUGCUUCGACGGCUAGAACAUCCGCCGGAGACGAGGAUGACAGCUACCACGCGACGGAGGAUGCCGACGGCGAUGAGAGCGCCGUCCAUCGUGCUCCGGUACCGUCGGUGGGGUUCUCGAUGUCCGCCGUGACAUGUCACAUUCAUCUGUCCUUUUGCCAUAAAAAAAGGCAGCCCCAUGUGCGUGGUCUGCUCUGCUCCUCCAUGCAGGAUGUCCGCAUGGUCUGCUACGAGCACACGCAGGUUCUUCGCAGGCAGAUCGAUCAGGUCGAUGCGCCGACCCAGCUCAUCAGCUCCUCCACGUACGGUCGCCGCCGGCUUUGUUCUUGCAUCCUCUCGCAAACUUCCUUCCUAACCUGACAUGGGACGAAACGAAACACAUCAAGCAAAAAUGUUGCUCAAGCCGGCCUUACUGGUUGUGUUUCUCUAAAGCUCAAGGACAAGUAGGAUCGUAUCACAUCACCUACCUUGCCUCUCCUGAAGCCUGAUUUCUCGUAGACCACAUUGGGUCGUGGAUGGGGUUCUCAAUCACUACCGUAAACCGGGUGUUGGCCGAGUGCAUUCUAUCGGGCACUCGGCAAAGAAGCUCUUUGCCGAGUGCUGCUAAAAACACUCUGCAAAAUAAUUGCACUUGGCAAAAGAGCCAAAAAAUACUUGGCAAAGCCUGGCACUCGACAACCUAGAAAAAAAACACUCGGCAAAGAUAGGCACUCGGCAAAGAAAUAUGUUUGCAGAGUGUAAUUAUUUGGCACUCGGCAAAUAAUAUGUUUGCCGAGUGUAAUUAUUUAGCAGUUGACAAAUAAUUUCACUUUAUUUCUUUUCUAACCUUCAAACUUUUUCUACUCUCCACAUAGAACAUGUGGUAUUCCAUGUUAAAAUUUGGUAUAUUUCUGGAUUUGUUUUCUAUAUUUAAUUAAUUUAUUGCAUUUCUAGGAUUUUUUUGGUAUAAGUCAAAUUUGAACCGCAAGUGAUUCACGUAAUAGAAUAAAAUGAGUAGAAAAAUGAUAUUCAUGUUAUUGAGUCCAGUGUGAGGCCUUACCUCAAGAAAUGAAAUUUUUUUUGAAUAUCUUGUUCAGAAAACACGACCACGAACGCGUGGUCGAAUGGUUUUUAAAUUCUAAAAAAAGCAAAUGAAGUAUGAAAAUCAUGAGAUUUGUCAUGAUGUGAUGAUAUCAUACAUAGAGGCUGUGGUAAAAAAUUGAGAAGGUUUCGCAUAAUUUGUCAUGUUCGAUAUUUACAAACCGAAGCAUCUCAAAAAAAAAGAAUUGUAGCGUUGAGAAGGAUUCGGCAAGAUGUGGAGUCAAAGUGAUAGUCGAAUUGGGGUUUGACUUCAAAACUUUUUGUAUAGGCAGUAGAGAACAUAGAUUAUUUCAUGUGAAAUUUUGGUAAUUUUUUGGAUCCGUUUGAUAAUUUUAAUUUAUUAAGUGCAAUUAUAGAAUUUUAAUUGAUAUAAAUUAAAUUUGAGCUGUAGCUCCAUAAAUAUUCAUAGAAAAAUCAUAUAUAUAUAUAUAUAUAUUGUUGAGUCAAUUUGAUAAGGUAUUUUCAAAGUACAUCGGGGGAAAAGAAGGAAAAUACGGUAUGGAAAAGAAGGAAAGGGGAAAAAAAGUUUGCCGAGUGCAGACACUUGGCAAAGAUAAGUUUGCCGAGUGCCAUGAUCUGAUACUCGGCAAACUUAGCUUUGUCGAGUGUCCUAGAUUCGACACUCGGCACCUUAUAAAAGUUACCCGACCACCGCCCCCUCCCUCCCACCCUCCCCUUCCUCUCCCGACAUCGCUGCCCCCUCCCCUCCCUCCCUCUCCCGCCGGCGCCGCCUCUUCCCCUCCCUCCAUCUCCCGCCGGUGCCUCCUCCCUCUCCCGCCGGUGCCGCCCCCUCCCCUCCCAACGUCUCCCGCCGGCGCCCCCUCCCUCUCCCGCCACCCCCACCCCCUCCCCUCCCAACGUCUCCCGCCGGCGCCCCCUCCCUCUCCCGCCACCCCCACCCCCUCCCCUCCCAACGUCUCCCGCCGACGCCCCCUCCCUCUCCCGCCGGCGCCACCCCCUCCACUCCCUCUUCCCCCAUCUCCCUCCCUCUCCCUCUUUUUUUUUUGCACAGGCGGUGGCGGCAGGCGUGGUGGCGACGGCGGAGUGGUGGUGGCGGUUAGGUUUUUUAUUAUAUUUUUCGAAAUAUUUUUUGCCGAGUGUCGAUUUAGCACUCGGCAACAUCAUUGCCGAGUGCUCGAUAAAAAACACUCAGCAAAGAUAGUUUUGCCGAGUGGAACACUCGGAAAAAUAUUUGCUAAGUGUUUUUUUUGCCUUCGCCGUGUGUCAUGAAUGUUGGCCAUGCAUGCAUCGUCCUAGCUAGGCUUAAUGACACCUACCCAUCGAGAUAUAAAUGGUGUCGAAUUUAUUUUCUGCUGAUUAGAAUCUAAACAGAAAAGAUUAACACCUCUAAUUUUGAUGAUCCAGGUAUAUAAUAAGGAUUAAUUUGCGAGCACGAUUGAGCUAAUCUGUACUCCCUCCGUCCCAAAAUAAGUGUUCGUUUAGAAAAUUUUGAACACAUUAGUAGUUGUGAGAAGUGAUCAUGCUAUUCCUAAUUACUCAUAUUAAUCGUGGUUGAAAGCUGUGUAGUCUGUUUGAUUUUCUGGAUCCUGAAUACAUGUACGAUGCAUUGGAACCAGAGAAAAAACAUCAAUUGAUCAUUUUAUUGGAUCUAUGCACUUCUCAGUACACUUGUUUUUAUUGGUGCGAGUAUUGCUUUAAUUAGAUGAGUCUCGUUAGGAGCUAGAUGAACUUUCUUUGUGACCAAAUUUGAAAGAUAAACGAACAUUUAUUGACAGAGGGUGUAAGCCGAUACUACUUAAAAAAGGAAGAUGGUUGGUGGCAUGUCACGUUCCUCUGUCCUUUUACCAUCGCAUGUUUGGCUCCCCCGCUUAACUUCCGCACGUGUCACAUCAGAUGUUUGGAUACUAAUUAGGAGUAUUAAACAUAGUCUAAUUACAAAACUAAUUGCACAUAUGAAGCCUAAUUCGCGAGAUGAAUCUAUUAAGCCUAAUUAGUUCAUGACUUGACAAUGUGGUGCUACAGUAACCAUUUGCUAAUGAUGGAUUAAUUAGCCUUAAUAGAUUCGUCUCACGAAUUAGACUCCAUCUGUGUAAUUAGUUUUGUAAUUAGCUUAUAUUUAAUCCUCCUAAUUAGCAUCCGAACAUCUGAUGUGAUCCUGCUAAACUUUAACCCCUCGUAAUCGAAACACUCAUGAAUCGAUGAACUCUCGCACCGGCAGCGGCGGCUCCUCGUCAGCUUGCAGUUUCCCCUCUAUAUUUCCGAAGGCACAACGUACCUUCGACGACGACGAAAACGCAGCAGCAGCCAGCGAGGAGGAAUCCCAUGGGCCAUGGCCCCUAGGAUGAGCAGGACCACAGCCACCGCCCAGGCCGGCCGCCCGAUGAGCGCGGUAGAAGAGCAUCGAGAGGACGCAGAAGGCGAUGAGCGCGCCAAGCAUGCACAGCAGCGGCGCGCAUCGACGGUCGGGAUCCGGCCUCGCGUCAACGACGACGCCGCCACCGCCGCCGCCGGGGUUCUCGAUGUCCGCCAUAGCAGCUAGCCUUUGGUGUUCAUUACUAGCUAGGGGGAAAAAGCCAGCGAGUCCAAUGCAAUCAACGUAGAGAGACCAUGAACAUAAAGAACAAGGAGGGCCAAAUUCCUUCAGUUUCUUCCAUUUCUUCACUCAUAUGAUUCAACCGGGUCCAGCUUCUCCUUUCUUCUUCUGUGAUUGUGGCAAUCAUGACGUGUUUAAGAGAAAAGUAGAACAUGCAAAUAUGACAUUUUUAUUCUUGCAAACAUACAAAUAUGAAGGCAAAUAUAAAGCAUACAAAGAAAAUAAAAGCAAAAGGAGAUGCACAUUAGAGCACAAGGUCAGUUCCCUUCAAUUUCUCUUCCACAAUGCAAUCUAGCUUUCUCCCCAUCUCUUGGCUCAUGUGAUUCACCCAAUCCCCCACCUUUCCUUUUCUGAAGAACACUGACUUCUCAAUAAUUAGGUUACCAAUCCGGACCUGGUCACCUGUCUGGUUGGUGUCCAAGCUGCUAAGCUUAUCAAAGCUGCACAACCGCACCACCUCCUCAGGUAUCCCGUCUUCUUCUUCCUUGAUACUGAAGGGGACACCGAGGAAUGUUGCAAGUCUAAUGACAUACUUUAUUGGUUCUAACAUCAUAUCUUCAUACUUGAGAAAAAGAAUCCUGUUAGGGCAUGCGACGCUCUCCCUCCAGUACUCGAGGCAAUGCUCCCAAAAAGGUCCGUAGUUUGAGAAACCUUCGGAAAACAUGUUGACAGCAGCCUCAAAGUCAACACUACGUUCCCUAAUGACCUUACUCUUGAAGUGCCACCAGGACACAAGAGCGUCCUUUGGAUCUCGACAAACGUACACAGUACGACAACCACAACUAGCUAAGGAAUCUGGGAACAACGAGAGGGGCAUAUGGGUAGCAAGAAGCCUUGGAGAUGGGAGUGUCUCUACAUAGGUCAUGUCACCAUCUCGAGGGAUCUCGAGGAAUGGCACCACCUCCUGGGGAUGACGGAAGAGAAGAGGGUGAUUGCCAAACUCAUACCGGGAGCGAUUGGUGAUUGUGAAGGCGAGGGCCUUGAUCCACGUGGUGCCACACUUGGGGUUCGUUGCGAGAACGAUGUCGUCGUGGCGAGCUUCGAAGGUGUUCUGGAGGCGCAUGAUGGUUGCAGCGAAACGUGGACGGAGCCAGUAGUUCUUGUAGAGCACCAAUGGCUCCGACCACCCCUCCCUCGUUGGAAGUUUGGAUAGAGGAUCAUCAGUGCCGUGGCUAUUUGUGGCGCUUCCCUCCAUG